UAUAGAAAAAAAUCCGUUGAUUAAGACGCUGCGAUCGGAUCUUAAUUAUCUCUUUUAGUUUACGAGAUAUUCGCGAUUGAAUAAAAUUGGCAAAAAUUGCAAAAUGUCACUUUUUUGCACUUUUAGUCGCGUUUUUCGACCUUUUACUGUAGGAAAUAUAAUUAUUUUAUAUUUUUGUCUGAUAGAGAAUUUUCCAGUCUUUCAUAAUCAACAAUUCGUUGGUAGCUAUCUCUUUUAGUUUAAGAGAUAUGAAUUUUUGAAAAUCGUCGAAAAAAAGUAUCAAGCACCCCCCCUUGGCAAUUUUAUCUUAAGAUGUAAAAUUUCAUCUCUCAGAUUUCCGUUUUAACUAAGCUAUCUGAUAGAGAUUAGUCCGUAGAUUAAGACGCUGCGAUCAGAUCUUAAAUAUCUCUUUUAGUUUACGAGAUGUUCGUGAUUGAAGAAAAUGCGCCGUAGUACUCGUUGCGCUAGGAAUUGUAGUUUUUAUGUAUUAACACACGAACGCGGUGUCACACUAAGUUCGAAAUCAUUUUCCCUAAUGCGGAAUUUAAUUCUGUAUCUUCCUGUAUUGAAAUUUAUUGCCAGAAAUUCCAUAACACGAGUUAUAUUGAAAGUUGUGUGUGUGCGCCGUAGUACUCGUUGUGCUACGAAUUGUAGUUUUUUUGAUAUAACACACGAACGCCGUGUCACAAUAGGUUCGAAAUUAUUUUCCUUUAUGCGGAAUUUAAUUCUGUACCUCCCUGUAUUGAAAUUUUGUUUAAGUUUUGUUAAAACAAAAUUUAUUUAUUUCUUUUAUAUAUAGUUAAAUUAUAAUUAUAAGCAAAUUUAUUGCAGUUUUAAUAUAUAUUUAACUCAAAAUCACACUUGCAAUUUUCUAGUCGAAAUUCCUGAGCUGACUAUCUUGCAUGCGACCUUGUUUGUUGCAAAUAUUGCGCGUUGUCUUGCGGCGUGCGCGCAGUAUUAUCGCAUGUGGUCGCGUGCCGCCGUUGAUUGUGCUGCGCGCUGUGCUCAGCACAGUUUUGUGCCGGUCGUUGUUCGGGUUGGACGUGUUUCUCGCGACUGUUAUCGUUUUAUUUUUAGUUUGUAAUUCGGUAAAUCGCAUUCAUUUCAAUUGUCCAUCGGCUGGAUUUAGUUGUUCCUCACGUGUUUAGUGUUUCAUUAAUAGAUAAACGGGUGUCGAAUAUUCAAAAUCGUUAAUUUUCUUUGCGUUCGUUGUGCGUAUUGCAGGCUGGCCGCGUGUUAUCGACUUGUUUACACUGCAAGCGUGCAUGGUGCAGGUAGCAUGAACCUGCAACGCCUUGCAAUGUGUGUUGUGAUAUUAUUUCAUUUAUUUGCGGUCUCUCUGUGUCGUUGUGUUUGGUAUUUUGCCCUGGGAACAUGGACGAUGUUCUUCGUGGAAACCGAGAAAGAACGAAGUUGCGUCUGCAUCAUACCUAAAGUCGAAGAAAAUUGGGUGGUUAAGUAGGAUUUUCACAUGUGGCGGGAAAUUGUUGGGGUUUUCAUCGACAGUGCGCAUAAUCCUAGAUUUGUGUUUGUGCGUGGCAUCUUCUUGAGAACAUUUCCUUGAUUGCUGUUUGUGUUAUGUUAUUGUGUAUGUGGAACUUGAGAACUCUUUUUAUUGUGUAUAUGACUUUGCUGGAUUUAUGUAUUAAUGUGUACAUACAUGUUUGUUGUACUGUCCAAGCAAGUAGAAUUCAUUUUUAUAUGUAAAUAAUUUGGUUUGUAUUGCAGUUGUUUGUGUUUUAAUGUUUGCUUGCACCUUGUGUAGUGUGUUUUAAUUAGUAUAAAUAAACAACGUUGAUGCCUGUUGAAGAAGUUUAGCAGCACUUGUGCCAAGGAGUCUACCGCUUCCGUCGCAGAAAUGUUAGAGAUGCGCGUAUUACAAGGCAAGUUUUACUUCCAGGAGAUUUAAGAGCUGCCUCUGAUUUUCGAUUUUAAAUCAAUAUAUGUUGUUUUUAAUGUUGCUAAUAAAACAUAAUGUAAUAUUAUAUAA